GGGAGCUGUCUCUGAGAACCUGCGGGAGAGCGCCCGGGCUUGCUGCUUCCCGGACCCGCGCGUCUCUCGAGCACCCUCGUCCCACCACCUUGUGAGGCCGUAGUGUUAUUUUUAUUUUUUAGAUCAGCAGACUGAGACUCGAGGUGACGUCACUCCGCAGAGAGGUUAGAGCACAGCAGACUGAGCCACCCAGAACUGGCCCCUCCGGUGGACCAGCCCCUGCGGAUUCACAGACCACUGGGCCUGGAAGGGACCUUGUCAAGCAGGCCCAUAAGAACCUGUGAGGCAAAAACGAAAGAAGAAGGCAGGACACGCAGUGUAACAAACCUUGGAAUGGCCGAGUUAGUGUUCACCUUCACCGAGAUCCUAAGGAGCUGUUUGCAUUCCUCUAUCUCAUCGUAUCAUCAUUGUCUAAGUGUCCGUCCCUCUGCUGUGGCCUCUUUGGGAGCAGGACUUCGCCAGACUUCAUCAGAAGAAAGCAGUGCGAGAGGGGACUGCAGAGGAAAGCUGGGGCUUGGGAAACCAGCAGCAGGGGCCACGUGGGCAGGUGGUUUCUGUGUGAACCUCUGAUCUGUGCAACAUAAACAGGAAAUGUUGAAGGCUUCCAGUGCUCUUUUUUGAUGUCGAGAACAUUCUACGGUACAAAAGAGUUUGCCUCUCACUGUUUCUCAUAUAUGGAGGUUUUCUAAUCAGCAUCCUGAACAGAAUUGAAUUAAAAAUAAAACCAA
rnacentral:lncRNA from 1 species